rnacentral:tRNA from 1 species
GGGGUUAGCUGGGCAAAUAAAAGCUUCUAACUUUAUAUUUAAGCGGUUAAAUUCCGUUUUAACCCCU